rnacentral:rRNA from 1 species
UAAGCAGUAAGGCUGAGUAUUAGGCAAAUCCGGUACUCAUUAAGGCUGAGCUGUGAUGGGGAGAAGACAUUGUGUCUUCGAGUCGUUGAUUUCACACUGCCGAGAAAAGCCUCUAGAUAGAAAAUAGGUGCCCGUACCGCAAACCGACACAGGUAGUCAAGAUGAGAAUUCUAAGGUGAGCGAGCGAACUCUCGUUAAGGAACUCGGCAAAAUGACCCCGUAACUUCGGGAGAAGGGGUGCUCUUUAGGGUUAACGCCCAGAAGAGCCGCAGUGAAUAGGCCCAAGCGACUGUUUAUCAAAAACACAGGUCUCUGCUAAACCGUAAGGUGAUGUAUAGGGGCUGACGCCUGCCCGGUGCUGGAAGGUUAAGAGGAGUGGUUAGCUUCUGCGAAGCUACGAAUCGAAGCCCCAGUAAACGGCGGCCGUAACUAUAACGGUCCUAAGGUAGCGAAAUUCCUUGUCGGGUAAGUUCCGACCCGCACGAAAGGCGUAACGAUUUGGGCACUGUCUCAACGAGAGACUCGGUGAAAUCAUAGUACCUGUGAAGAUGCAGGUUACCCGCGACAGGACGGAAAGACCCCGUGGAGCUUUACUGUAGCCUGAUAUUGAAAUUCGGCACAGCUUGUACAGGAUAGGUAGGAGCCUUUGAAACGUGAGCGCUAGCUUACGUGGAGGCGCUGGUGGGAUACUACCCUAGCUGUGUUGGCUUUCUAACCCGCACCACUUAUCGUGGUGGGAGACAGUGUCAGGCGGGCAGUUUGACUGGGGCGGUCGCCUCCUAAAAGGUAACGGAGGCGCUCAAAGGUUCCCUCAGAAUGGUUGGAAAUCAUUCAUAGAGUGUAAAGGCAUAAGGGAGCUUGACUGCGAGACCUACAAGUCGAGCAGGGUCGAAAGACGGACUUAGUGAUCCGGUGGUUCCGCAUGGAAGGGCCAUCGCUCAACGGAUAAAAGCUACCCCGGGGAUAACAGGCUUAUCUCCCCCAAGAGUUCACAUCGACGGGGAGGUUUGGCACCUCGAUGUCGGCUCAUCGCAUCCUGGGGCUGUAGUCGGUCCCAAGGGUUGGGCUGUUCGCCCAUUAAAGCGGUACGCGAGCUGGGUUCAGAACGUCGUGAGACAGUUCGGUCCCUAUCCGUCGUGGGCGUAGGAAAUUUGAGAGGAGCUGUCCUUAGUACGAGAGGACCGGGAUGGACAUACCUCUGGUGUACCAGUUGUCGUGCCAACGGCAUAGCUGGGUAGCUAUGUGUGGACGGGAUAAGUGCUGAAAGCAUCUAAGCAUGAAGCCCCCCUCAAGAUGAGAUUUCCCAACUUCGGUUAUAAGAUCCCUCAAAGAUGAUGAGGUUAAUAGGUUCGAGGUGGAAGCAUGGUGACAUGUGGAGCUGACGAAUACUAA